rnacentral:lncRNA from 1 species
AAAACAACAUCGGUCCACCAACUAAGUCUACAGAAGGAAGCAAGAAUAGCCGAAAAAGCAGGAAAUAAACUCAACCGCUACAAAUCACUACACUAUCAUGCUCUACACUAACCAACUGUAGGAAAUGUCAAAUCUGACCCAAUCCAAUCGGGACUGUAAACAUACCCGUCCCUGGGACUGUGAAUACACCCGUCCCUGCCCAGUUGCGACUAUCCAGCUACCUCCACACUAAUUGGUCCGUGGAGAGCAAGUCCAACCGGCAUGAGCGACACCAACGCAAAAGCACAAAGCCCGUCUCCGGAGUAGCACUCGUGGGCGCUACCCAACUGAGUAUGCAGCGUAUCUCUGUCGAAAGCCAAAGUCCAGUAACUAACUCAACCUGGUCUAACAACAAACAAGUAAAGUGUCCUUGACACAAUCUGACGCCAAAAAGGUGAUACAGGUCCACCGUCAACUCUAACGGCACCCAACAGUCUGAAACAGCUUAAACGACUCUGUAAAAAUCCACUCGGCGUACCAGCACGAGCGUAAAUGUAUUCUAAACUAUCUGGAUUACUCGUCUCGAGGAUACUGCGAUAGUACAAAUUUUAUAACGGCUCCUAGAGCUAAAUCAGGCAGUUUAAACAAGUG